CAUUGGAAUAAAGAAAUUAUACAUGCCUAUGUAUAACAACGAUAAUAUAACAAAGAAUCAAAAUAAACAAUCAUUUAAAAUAAAGCAAUAAUAACAAAAAUAAAUCCUACAGGCUCUGAUUAAACAUUUAUUUUAUUUUUAUUUUAUGUAGUUUUUUUUUUUAUGUGGGGUCCUAUGAUCAUUUGGCCAUAAUUUAUCAAUUAAAUAUAGGCCAAUCAGCUUAUUUUACAUAUUGGACCGAAACCGAUAACAUGAAAAAGUCACAUUUACUGGCUAACAUGACUACAGAUAUCAUGCAUCCCUCUAUGUAACAAAGAGCAAAUAUGUAAGCAUUAUACUUUGUUCUCAGGCUUAUUUGUAUAUAGUUCUCAUGCAGAGCCACUCAACGGUUCCAAAUGCACAUCCUGUUUUGUGUCACUCAGAUUUGUGUCACAUUACAUGCACCAUCAAACUACUAAUGCACCAGUAUAGUAGCUUUGGUUUGAAUGAAAGACUUGUCACACUAUGAGUCGUGGCAGAAACACUACUAGGCAUUCUUGUAAACAUCCUCUCUUUUGAUUCACUGGACUGUUACUGCGGUUUCUUUUGAUGUCAUUUGCCACCUAUAAUGUACUGUCUGAGGGCAGGAACAUUCUGUACUUAGAGAAUUUACAGUAACACAUUUAAGUGCAAUUAAAAUUUUUCCAGUCAGAACUUACUGAGAAGUAUUAAUAAUAUGAAACAUACUUUUUGUUGACACUGGAAGACGAUUGUUCGAUUUUGAUCUGUUUAUUGGUAUGGAUAGUGAUUGCAGAUUGAUCAUCAAAUGACAUGCAUGAAAAUAAAGCACGGAUAAUUAAAUCCAUUUUUGUGCAUUAGCAGCUCAUUUCGAAACACUGUUUACAGGCUGCGUUUUAAUAUGGGUCACUUCUCAUGUAUGUUUCUCCUUUUUUAUUCACUUGUAGUCCUUUUCGACCUCUCCACUUCGUCUGCUCCUGACUUGCUGUGAGCAAUGCUGAUCCAAAGGUUGCCGAAUGAAUGUACCUUCUGCUGCAAUGCUAACCUGAAAAGAAGCCAACCAACAUACGAUGCAUAUACAUCCAACUCAAGUGCUGAAUUGACUGACUGUAUCUUACGGAAGAGCUCUGAACUUAAAAUCCUUCCACAUGACCCUGGCAUCCUCGCAGUCCUGUGUGCAAAUUGAAUGACACCCCACCUCUGCAUGUCUUCAAAGUUGAUGUGAUUGGAGCUUGGUACCUCAGACAUCACUGCUUUACUCCAGGCCCUGGUCAUCCCAUCCUCUUCAGCAUAGGCAAGGC
rnacentral:lncRNA from 1 species